AAGACCUAGUGGCGAACGGGUGAGGAACACGUGAGAAAUUUGCCCCGAACUUUGGGAUAACAGUUGGAAACGACUGCUAAUACCGAAUGCCGUUACGAGGUGGCAUCACUUUGUAACGAAAGAAUUUCGGUUCGGGAGAAUCUCGCGGCCUAUCAGCUUGUUGGUGAGGUAAUGGCCUACCAAGGCAACGACGGGUAGCUGGUCUGAGAGGAUGAUCAGCCACACUGGGACUGAGACACGGCCCAGACUCC
rnacentral:rRNA from 1 species